UGGGUUUGACCAUCUUCGAAUCUUGUUAAUUUCUAAAGGUUGGUUUGGGCUUGAGAGUCUUGGACUAUCAAGGCUUGAGCUUGUCUCAGUUUCUUAUUAGGUCGACUGGACUGACUCAUUAAAUUUAUCUUGAUCUUCUUGAGUCGGGACAGCAAUAGACUUUCAUCUGUUUGACUAUUCAGGGGUAUCUAAAACAGAAUGAAUCAGUUCUAAUAU
rnacentral:lncRNA from 1 species